GCGAGGUCGCCAACUGCGCUUAGCCGAGCGCCAGCCUGGCGCGAUAUUCUCCCCUUUCUUUUGUUCUCCAUUCAGAGCUUUUCAGUAAACCUGAGUGACAGACUUGAUCUUCAACUUGUAAGAAUGACUGUCAGUUCGGGUCGCAGGGGGUGCUGGAGCUUAUCCCAGCAGUCA